UCCAAUCCCUAGUUCAGAUAAUUGACAGAUAAGAACUGUCAUAGUCCUGAUAAAUAAAUCUAGGUAUAUAAGAAACACUUGUACAUAAACAUGAGAAGUUUGCUGUUGGGUAAAAUAAAUAUAGAUGCUCUCUUCUGUAGCAACUGUUGACCAGACCAGUGCGUUUUCCUUGAACUUUACAGUGGCGACGAGAUAAAAAAAUUAGUAAUUCGCGUGUGAAAGUAGUAAAAAAUAGUAGAAUAAGUGGCCGUUUCGGAUUAGCUUGUGUCGGACGGAGCUAAGGUUGGCUGGUUGAGGAAUUAAUCGGAUGAAAGCCGGUCAAAAGUGACGCUAGUUCCUUGGCUUAGGGUGGACCCUAUUAUCCACAGGUCGAGUUAAUUUCCUGGUGGCGUCUGAAAUUGAAGUUUACCGAAGAGCUUUUGAGCAGGAAAGCUAGGCCAGUUGACCGAUAAUCCGGAUAAGGCUGUACGAAAAAGGAUGAUUACCGGUGUUGUUGCUGAGUGAAUACGUGAUAUCGUUGCAAAAACUUAAUCGUUUGAAAGGCGGAAUUAUCGACGCACACACGAACUUUUCGGGAUUGGGACAAUUGGCGUUCAGCAGUACAAUAACCACUAGUUUCGGAGGAGACGGGAACUGGAAUUCAGCGAGUGAGAACGGUACAAAGUUGUGAACUAAUUAGACACAAUGGGGCUAAUCGGUUCAAUUGAUCCAUAUGUUCAAGGUACCUCGUUCUCUCAUUAUGUCGAACAAAUGGAAUACAUCUUCUCUAGUAACGACAUUGUAGAGGGUAAGAAAAAAGAUAUUUUCCUUAGCUUGUGCGGGAUAACGGUGUUCCAGGAAUUGAAACGUCUUUAUCCUGCGACGGACUUACGAACCGUAUCCUACGCGGAUAUUAUAAAAAAAUUAAAGGAGAGAUAUGAUAAGGUAGAAUCAGACAUAGUGAUGCGGUAUAAGUUUAGAUGCAGGGUACAAGGACCAGGUGAAACGAACGAAAAUUUUCUUCUAGAUGUGAAACUAUUGGCUGAAACGUGUGACUUUGGUGAAUUUAGAGACUCGGCCAUUAGGGAUCAAUUGGUUUACGGUGUGCAUGAUAAGGAUUUGCAACAGAAGCUUUUAGGUGAGGAGAAUUUGACGUUGAAAGUGGCGGAGCGGAUUUUAAAAACAAAAGAAGUUACAGCAAAUAGCUCGCAGGCAAUCAAUAGGAGCAGCGGAGUGAAUUCGGUAAAGCAUAGGUUAGGAUGGAAGGAAAUCAAGGAUGAAAGAAAGAAUUAUGGCGAAAGAGAUUUUGAAAGAAGGAGCAGAGAAAAGUAUCGAAAUGAUGAUAGAAGAUCCCAAUACCAAAAUGGCGGAUAUCGUUCUCGAUCUAGGUCACAGACAAAGGGACGGUAUGCUAACUUUAUUUGUCAUUUUUGUAA